rnacentral:rRNA from 1 species
CCUACGGGAGGCAGCAGUGAGGAAUAUUGGUCAAUGGCCGGAAGGCUGAACCAGCCAUGCCGCGUGAAGGUCAGUGCCCUAUGGGCGUUAAACUUCUUUUGUGCGGGAGCAAUAAUGGUCACGUGUGGCCAGACGAGAGUACCGUACGAAUAAGCCCCGGCUAACUCCGUGCCAGCAGCCGCGGUAAUACGUAGGGGGCGAGCGUUAUCCGGAUUCACUGGGUGUAAGGGGGGCGUAGCCGGCAAUGCAAGCCAGGGGUGAAAGCCCGUGGCCCACCGCCGGGACUGCCAUUGGUACUGCAUUGCUGGAGGGCGGGUGGGGCAGGCGGAAUGUGUGGUGUAGCGGUGAAAUGAGUAGAUAUCAGGAGGAACACCGGCGGCGAAGGCGGCAUGCGGAACCGCGAUUGACGUUGAGGCGCGAAAGCGUGGGGAGCGAACAGGAUUAGAUACCCGUGUAGUC